UACAGAGGAGCCAAGCGUUGUCCGGAUUGACUGGGCGUAAAGCGCACGCAGGCGGACGCGCGCGUGGGGUGUGAAAUCUGGCCGCUUAACGGCCAGGCGCCAUCCCAUACGGCGCGUCUGGAGUGAUGCAGAGGUCGAUGGAAUUGCCGGUGUAGUGGUGAAAUGCGUAGAGAUCGGCAGGAACACCCAGGGGGGAAACCAGUCGACUGGGCAUCUACUGACGCUGAGGCGCGAAAGCGUGGGGAGCAAACGGGG
rnacentral:rRNA from 1 species